GUCUAUGGCCAUACCACCCUGAACGUGCUCGAUCUCAUCUGUUCUUGGAAGCUAAGCAGGGUCUGGGCUGGUUAGUACUUGCAUGGGAGACCAUCUGGGAAUACCAGGUGCUGUAGAUU
ensembl:rRNA 5S_rRNA 5S ribosomal RNA